GACGAACGCUGGCGGCGUGCUUAAUACAUGCAAGUCGAACGGAAAGGCCCUGCUUUUGUGGGGUGCUCGAGUGGCGAACGGGUGAGUAACACGUGAGUAACCUGCCCUUGACUUUGGGAUAACUUCAGGAAACUGGGGCUAAUACCGGAUAGGAGCUCCUGCUGCAUGGUGGGGGUUGGAAAGUUUCGGCGGUUGGGGAUGGACUCGCGGCUUAUCAGCUUGUUGGUGGGGUAGUGGCUUACCAAGGCUUUGACGGGUAGCCGGCCUGAGAGGGUGACCGGCCACAUUGGGACUGAGAUACGGCCCAGACUCCUACGGGAGGCAGCAGUGGGGAAUAUUGCACAAUGGGCGGAAGCCUGAUGCAGCAACGCCGCGUGCGGGAUGACGGCCUUCGGGUUGUAAACCGCUUUCGCCUGUGACGAAGCGUGAGUGACGGUAAUGGGUAAAGAAGCACCGGCUAACUACGUGCCAGCAGCCGCGGUGAUACGUAGGGUGCGAGCGUUGUCCGGAUUUAUUGGGCGUAAAGGGCUCGUAGGUGGUUGAUCGCGUCGGAAGUGUAAUCUUGGGGCUUAACCCUGAGCGUGCUUUCGAUACGGGUUGACUUGAGGAAGGUAGGGGAGAAUGGAAUUCCUGGUGGAGCGGUGGAAUGCGCAGAUAUCAGGAGGAACACCAGUGGCGAAGGCGGUUCUCUGGGCCUUUCCUGACGCUGAGGAGCGAAAGCGUGGGGAGCGAACAGGCUUAGAUACCCUGGUAGUCCACGCUGUAAACGGUGGGUACUAGGUGUGGGGUCCAUUCCACGGGUUCCGUGCCGUAGCUAACGCUUUAAGUACCCCGCCUGGGGAGUACGGCCGCAAGGCUAAAACUCAAAGGAAUUGACGGGGCCCCGCACAAGCGGCGGAGCAUGCGGAUUAAUUCGAUGCAACGCGUAGAACCUUACCUGGGUUUGACAUGGAUCGGGAGUGCUCAGAGAUGGGUGUGCCUCUUUUGGGGUCGGUUCACAGGUGGUGCAUGCCUGUCGUCAGCUCGUGUCGUGAGAUGUUGGGUUAAGUCCCGCAACGAGCGCAACCCUUGUUCACUGUUGCCAGCACGUUAUGGUGGGGACUCAGUGGAGACCGCCGGGGUCAACUCGGAGGAAGGUGGGGAUGACGUCAAGUCAUCAUGCCCCUUAUGUCCAGGGCUUCACGCAUGCUACAAUGGCUGGUACAGAGAGUGGCGAGCCUGUGAGGGUGAGCGAAUCUCGGAAAGCCGGUCUCAGUUCGGAUUGGGGCCUGCAACUCGACCUCAUGAAGUCGGAGUCGCUAGUAAUCGCAGAUCAGCAACGCUGCGGUGAAUACGUUCCCGGGGCU
rnacentral:rRNA from 1 species